AAGUGAAAUGGUGAUGACGUUCACCCUAAUACAAGCUAAUUGUUGAUGACGUCUGUCUUAAU
rnacentral:ncRNA from 2 species